UACGUAGGGGGGCUAGCGUUGUCCGGAUUUAUUGGGCGUAAAGAGCGUGUAGGCGGCCAGGUAGGUUCUGCUGUGGAAAACUCGAGGCUCAACCUCGAGACGUCGGCGGAAACCAUCUGGCUAGAGUCCGGAAGACGGGAGAGUGGAAUUCCGUGGUGUAGCGGUGAAAUGCGCAGAUAUCAGGAGGAACACCGGUGGCGAAGGCGGCAACCUGGUCCUUGACUGACGCUGAGGCGCGAAAGCGUGGGGAGCAAACAGG
rnacentral:rRNA from 1 species